UACGUAGGCAGCGAGCGUUGUUCGGAGUUACUGGGCGUAAGGAGUGCGUAGGCGGUUUUCUAAGUUUGGUGUGAAAUCUCCCGGCUUAACUGGGAGGGUGCGCCGAAAACUGGAAGGCUUGAGUAUGGGAGAGGUAAGCGGAAUUCCUGGUGUAGCGGUGAAAUGCGUAGAUAUCAGGAGGAACACCUGCGGUGUAGACGGCUUACUGGACCAUAACCGACGCUGAGGCACGAAAGCGUGGGUAGCAAACAGG
rnacentral:rRNA from 1 species